rnacentral:rRNA from 1 species
UACGUAGGGUGCAAGCGUUGUCCGGAAUUAUUGGGCGUAAAGAGCUUGUAGGCGGUUUGUCGCGUCUGCUGUGAAAACUCGGGGCUUAACCCCGGGCCUGCAGUGGGUACGGGCAGACUAGAGUGCGGUAGGGGAGACUGGAAUUCCUGGUGUAGCGGUGAAAUGCGCAGAUAUCAGGAGGAACACCGGUGGCGAAGGCGGGUCUCUGGGCCGUAACUGACGCUGAGGAGCAAAAGCGUGGGGAGCGAACAGG